ensembl:misc_RNA
UUGAGAAAGAGUGGCCAAUGUAGCGCUUCUCCCAGCCACAAACCCUUUCUUCCCCAGGGCAGUAUUUCUCAAUUACACCUUCCUGUCAUCAUCAUCUUCUUGUCUGGGCUCAUCAAGCUUUCUGCCAGGUUUCCAUGCUGCUAAGUCACUGGGAAAAUUAGACCCCACACCAAGAUGAUCAUCUUAGAAAUGCACAAAA